rnacentral:rRNA from 1 species
AAAUGCAAGUCGCACGGGUGGUUUCGGCCAUCAGUGGCGGACGGGUGAGUAACGCUAGGAACGUGUCCAGAGGUGGGGGACAACCCCGGGAAACUGGGGCUAAUACCGCAUGGGGGCUGAGGCCCAAAGCCGAGAGGCGCCAUUGGAGCGGCCUGCGUCCGAUUAGGUAGUUGGUGGGGUAAAGGCCUACCAAGCCUGCGAUCGGUAGCUGGUCUGAGAGGACGACCAGCCACACUGGGACUGAGACACGGCCCAGACUCCUACGGGAGGCAGCAGUGGGGAACAUUGGACAAUGGGCGAAAGCCUGAUCCAGCAAUGCCGCGUGGGUGAAGAAGGUCUUCGGAUCGUAAAGCCCUUUCGACGGGGACGAUGAUGACGGUACCCGUAGAAGAAGCUCCGGCUAACUUCGUGCCAGCAGCCGCGGUAAUACGAAGGGGGCUAGCGUUGCUCGGAAUUACUGGGCGUAAAGGGCGCGUAGGCGGCGGCCCAAGUCAGGCGUGAAAUUCCUGGGCUCAACCUGGGGACUGCGCUUGAUACUGGGUUGCUUGAGGAUGGAAGA